AGAAAGAAAAAACUAAAGCAAUUGCUAGUUGGUUUAUAAGCAUUUCUAUAUUUUUAAAAUAUUUUAUUUUGUUAAUCACGUUAUCAGAAUUCUCAAAUACAGAUAUAUUCUAUAACGAAAUAACGUAAAGUUCAUUGAAAAUGAAAGAAAAAAUUUUUUUGUCAUUGUCCUAUUUAACCUCAAAUGCAUUAUUCUUAACAAUUAAAAAUCAGAUUAUAAAUUAAGAAUAAGUUUUUCAUGUUUUGAUCAGUAAUUUAUCAGUAAAUGUCAAAUAUUGAAUGUCAAAAAAAUGAGUGAUUCUGAGGAUGAAAAUUAUGUUACAUUUGGAGUACCUCUUGAUCCAUUAGACGAAGAUAAUUUACCAAGAAAAAAACCAAUGACAAUUGAAGAUCAAUAUGCAUAUGAUGCACAAGGAAGACGUAGAUUUCAUGGUGCAUUUACAGGUGGUUUUUCUGCUGGAUAUUUUAAUACAGUAGGCACAAGAGAUGGUUGGAGACCACAACAAUUCAAAUCUUCUAGAAGUAGUAAAGCAGAAAGUAUAACGCAGCGUCCAGAAGAUUUUAUGGAUGAAGAAGAUACAAGUGAAUUUGGAAUUGCACCUACAGGAAUUCGUGCUACAGAGGAUUAUGUUGAUCAUGGUCAAAGAGGAACAAAACGUGAGAGACCUAUUUAUGAUAGCAAUGGUCCUAUUCCUGGCACUCCAGUAUUAAAAGAACUUUUAAAACCUGUAAAAGAAACAGUUGGAAUUAUGUUAUUAAAAAAAAUGGGAUGGAAACCAGGACAAGGUAUAGGAUCAAGACUUACAAAAAAGGAGAAAGCUAAAAUUAAAAAAAGAAAUGAAAGAAUGAAAAAUAUACAACAAAUAUCUAAAAAGACAAGCUCAGAAAAUAGUUCUGAGGAUUCAGAAGAUGAUUAUGAGAAUGUUACAUUUGCACCUGAUGACUAUGAACCAUUUAGAUGUAAUCCAAAAGAUAAUUAUUUUGGUAUAGGAUACAGUGGUUUAGACAGAAGAACAAUAUUAUCUGGUCAUGUAAAUUUAUUUGAUACUCCAGCAUUUAAUAUGCAAGACAAAAAUAAAAAAUUGUCAAUACAUGGACAAGCAUUUGGAGUUGGUGCAUUCGAAGCUGAUGAUGAUGAUAUAUAUGAAAGAGAAGAUAUGUCACGUUACGAUUUUUCUCUAGCUCCAGAACGGAAAUCCAAGACAAGAUGGUCUGAUGAUAAUUCAAAAAAUUUAAGUAGUAAUUGUUUAGAAGGUUUUAUAUUAGCAAAAGAUAAAUUAAAACUAAAAACAAUUUUUCAACCUCCAGUAUUACCAAAGGAUUUUGUACCAGUGCAUAUAAUUAGAAAAAGUCGAUUUUAUCCUCCAAUUGAAAAUGUUCAUCGUGCAAUUGAGAAUGGAAAGCGAAAAGAUUUAACAGCUGCGGACAGAGCUAAAAUAUUGGAAGAUACUUGUAGUGUGAAAAAACCAUCUGAAAUAUAUCCAAAUUCAGUACCAUCAGUUGCUUCCAAUAUUAUUUCUAAAACGUUAAAUUUACACGGAAAACAACAAAUUGAAGAAAGACAGAAAGAAAAAAAUCAAGGAUGUAAACUAGCUAUUUCAUGGAUGGAAAAAUUAAAUGUACAAAGUUUUGUUAAAGGAGGUAUUAUUGGUCCUGGUAAAGAUUUAGAGAAAAAUUUGAAAGAAUUAAAAGAAUUUAAAGAUUCAUCAACUUCUGAACAAACAAAUACAAAUACUAAUGAGUUAGAUAAAAAUAAUUCUAUAAAAAAUAGCAACAUGAAAUCUUUUUUUUCUGAUCCUGAUAAACAAAGACGUUUUGAACAAUAUUUAGUUUUUAUAAGACAGGGAGAAAAAAAUAAGCUUGAAAGUAUACAAUCAUUAUCUAUGACAGAAUGGGAUAGAGAACAUGAACGAGUUGAAUUUGAACAAGCAAUUAAAUUAGUUGAUCAACCAACGUAUGAUCAUGUUGAAAAUAAAUGUGAUUCCAAAAAUAUAGAUGUUUCUACAACAUUUAAUCAGGAAGAUGAAAUGAAACAAGCUGUAAAAAUGAAAAUGUUUGGAAAAUUAACUCGAGAGCGCAUAGAAUGGAAACCAGCAAGCAUAGUAUGUAAAAGAUUUAACAUUCCUGAACCAAAAAUCGGUUGUGCCCCUGAGAUUCAGAAAAAAUCAAGAAAGUUUUCAAUUUUUGAUUCUUUUGAUUGGAAUAAUUCUACAAAAUUUUUACGAGCAUCGAAAGAAUCAAACGAAAUUGAUAUAUCGCCAAAAGAUAAAAACAUCAUUAACAAUACAAACUUGAAUGUUAAGACAAAUGAUAAUAAAUCUUUUGAUAAUGAUCAAACUUUCGAACCUAUAUCAGAAAAAAUGAGAAACUUUGAAGUUUCUUAUGAAAAAGUUUUUGGAAAAGAAAUGCCAGAAACAUCUUCCAAAAUGUUAGAAAAUGAACAAAAUGUAGAUGAUAAAUCUGACGCAAAAAGAGUAACAGAGAUUACAGAUCAACAAGAUAAAGAUCAGAAAGAAAUAAAUUCUGCAAUAAAUAUUACCUUAAAAAGUACAUCAAAAGAAAAGAAAGAUCUAUUUAAGGCAAUUUUUUUAAGCAGUAGUGAAGAAUCGGAUUCCGAAUUAGAAGAAAGUGUAGAUAGCGAGGCUGUAAAGUCUGUUUUAAUUGGUAAAGUUCCAAGCGAAAUAAAUCUAAAUAGAAAUACUUCUCCACCAAGGGGAAUUUUUGCAAAAGUUGAUCUUGAUAGUUUAGUCACUAAUUCAAGAAGUAGUAUACAAUCAAAUGAAGGAAUUAAUAAAGAAGAAAAUAUAAAUACAACAAAUUCCGAAUUAGAAAUUAAAUCGAAACAAGAUGAUAAUAAAUUAAAUUCAGAAACUCAAUUAUUAUCUGAUAUGUAUGGACCUGCUCUUCCUUCAAGAUUACUGAAAAAUAAAAACGAAGUACCAGAAGCAUCCAGUUCACAAUUUUCAAAACCUAUAUUUAAAAGUGUUGUAAUACCAAAACCCAAAAUGGACUCAAAAAUUUCUGGUGUAUGGAUAGAACGAGAAAAAAUGAAAAAAACAAAGAAAGAGAAGAAAAAACAUAAACACAAAGAACAUAAAAGUUCGAAACAUAAACGAAAAUCGAAAAAAGAAAAGCGUGAUUCGUGACACAAGAAAAUGGAACAAUAAUAAAGGAAUUAGCAAAGAAGACGUUAAUGGAAAAACUCUGAGAGAUCCAUGAGCGAAGUCCAACCGGCUGAUGCGUACGAUGACUCCGAGUUUCCUUUAGAGUCAUCCUUUGCCAAAUUUGUUGCCGAGGACCAACCGCGCUUUCCAUUUUCAGCAGAUCUUUUAAUUAAAAUUAUAUUACGAAAUUUUGUACAAUUUCAAUCAAAAAAAUGCAUAAUUAUGAAUUCUAGACUAAUGUAUAGCAUAAUAAAUUUUAGAUUUGCAUAAUGAACUCUAGAUGUAAAAAAAAAAAAAAAAAAAAAAUGACGAAAAAAAAUCAUAAAUGUUAUAUGAGUGAAAAUAAUAUGAGAUAAAUUAUGGAAUAGAUUCUAAAAUUUGUAAGAAGACUUUGAAAUAAUUGCGACCGAAUCUCUCGAUUUAAAGAUUUCUUAAUUAAAGAACGAUUUUAUCAAUUGAUCUCUCGAAUUCAAGAGAGUAACAGCUGACAAUAAAUCUUAAUAUAAUUAUGCUAUAUACGUAACUAAAUAAUAUGUAACGGUUGAUUUAUUUUAUAAUUUUAAAAUAAUAUUUGCUCGUUAUUAAUCAAAUAAUUGUGUCUCAUAAUAAUAGUUUCAACAAUGUUAAUUUCAUCAAUUUUAAUUGCAAAAAUUUUGUAUAAUUGUUAAUUGUUAAUUCGUUUAUAAAUUUUAUUAUAUCAUGCAUCAAUUUAGAAUUAGAGAUUAAAGAGAAUAUAUUUAAUAUAAGUAGAAUAUAUUUAAUAUAGUUUUCUUCUAUAACUUAUAUUUUUAAAAAUGAUGAUAUAGAAAUUAUUCGAUUGCUUACCUGCUUGAAAAUUGGUCAAAUGAUAGACUAGGUGACGACGAUGUAAUGUCUCUCAAAUUAUCUUUCUUGCCCCCAUGUUCUUUAUAAUCUCUAAAUAAUUUAUUAUAUUUUUUUAAUAAGAUCUAUUUUCCAUUUUUAUUUUUAACUUUUUUUUUAUUCAUUGUAACAACAAAAAUAUUAUAAAAUAAUACCUAAAGCAUCUUUUACAACGGGUCGGCCAUCGCACUUGGGGAUGAAAACCAAGGGGGCAAAGGGGAUCUCCUUUUUUCGAGGAAUACAUGUGAUGCAUUCUACAUAUAAAAAUAAAAGAUAAUUUAUCGUUGCAAAUAAUUUUACAAAAUUAUUGCUUUACACAUAUAAAUUUCCUGCAACGCAACAUAUAAAUAUUCUUAUGUCAUAUUUUGAGUCGCGUGCGUGGAACAAUGUGAGUUAAAUCGGCACUUGCUUAUGAUGUGCAUUUACGAAAUAUGUGCAUGCUCAGAAAAAGGGCUGUUUAACGAAACAAAAAUGUUUGAAUAUGCUCGUCUAAUAAGAUGUCAUAGUAGAUGGCUUAUUUACCUAGAAAGGUGAUCGAUAAUUUAUUUCAAUCACUGAUUUCAUGUUAUUCAAACAUAUAGAUGAAUCAUUAGUUUGAACAUAAACGUAUAUAGUAUGUAUGAAAUAUUAGAUACAAGUAGUAUAAACAAGUAUAUAGUCCGUUUUAUAGUUUGAUCAUAGUUAAUAUAUUCAUACAAGUGCGCAUCAGUGAGUAAAAACGAUAAUGAUAUUAUACGAUGUGUCAAUGAAAAAUUAUAAUAAAUUUCGUACCACCAUAAACGCGUUAUAUGAUAAAUUUACGAGAUUGAAAAUCGAAAAUCUCGAUGAUUUCCGGUAGAGCAUAUCUUGGAAAAGCGUCACAUCGGGCGCAGAUAUGUAUAUUUAUCAGCCUUUUACGAUUUCUAACAGCUAAUGAGAUCGUUCGAUAUCUCGAAGAACAAUGGAUUUGAGCGAUCAGAAUACAAUUUAAGUACCUAAAAACGAAACCUUGAAUUAAUAAGAGAAUACGAGUUUCGUAAGAUGAGAAGAUAAAAUUUAAAGCAAAACUUGGCUUUCGAUGGAUCGUGAAAUACUUGGCAAAGUAUAAAUGAAAUUCAGCUCGAAACUUUAUAGAUCGGAUAGAUAUAAUAUUCAUUUGAGAAACCUUGAUGGAAUCUACAAUUUUUGCAUUGACGCGAUUUCAAAUGUUUGCUGAUAUUAUAUGUUUGUUUAACUUCCGGUGAUUUUGUUGAAAAUGUAAAUAAAUAUUCUUUUUUUUUUAUUUAUAAUCGUUAUAAAAUACAUAAUUUUAAUAAAUGUUAAUAUUUAUAUCGUA